rnacentral:rRNA from 1 species
CCUACGGGUGGCAGCAGUGGGGAAUCUUGGGCAAUGGGCGCAAGCCUGACCCAGCAACGCCGCGUGAAGGAAGAAGGCCCUCGGGUUGUAAACUUCUUUUAACAGGGACGAAGAACGUGACGGUACCUGUUGAAUAAGCCACGGCUAACUACGUGCCAGCAGCCGCGGUAAUACGUAGGUGGCAAGCGUUAUCCGGAUUUACUGGGGGGAAAGGGCGUGUAGGCGGGUGUGCAAGUCUGACGGGAAAUGCCAGGGCUCAACCCUGGAACUGCGUUGGAAACUGUUCUUCUUGAGUGAUGGAGAGGCAGGGGGAAUUCCGUGUGUAGCGGUGAAAUGCGUAGAUAUACGGAGGAACACCAGUGGCGAAGGCGGCCUGCUGGACAUUAACUGACGCUGAGGCGCGAAAGCGUGGGGAGCAAACAGGAUUAGAUACCCUUGUAGUC